AACGAACGCUGGCGGCAUGCCUAACACAUGCAAGUCGAACGAGACCUUCGGGUCUAGUGGCGCACGGGUGCGUAACGCGUGGGAAGCUGCCUUUAGGUUCGGAAUAACUCAGAGAAAUUUGAGCUAAUACCGGAUGAUGUCUUCGGAGCAAAGAGUUAUCGCCUUUAGCUGGGGCCUGGUUGGAUUAGCUGGUUGGGGGGGUAAAGGCCGACCAAGGCGACGUUCCAUAGCUGGUCUGAGAGGAUGAUCCGGCACACUGGGACUGAGACCCGGACCAGACUCCUACGGGAGGGAGCAGUGGGGAAUAUUAGAGAAUGGGCCAAAGUCUGGUCAAGCAGUGCCGCGGGAGUGAUGAAGGCGUUAGGGUUGUAAAGCCCUUUUACCCGAAAUGAUAAUGACGGUAACGGGAGAAUAAGCUCCGGCUAACUACGUG
rnacentral:rRNA from 1 species